rnacentral:rRNA from 1 species
AUGGACGCGCGCCGGGUCGGCGGCCGCAUCGCGGCGGCGCGGAGGGCCCUCACGGGCGCGCUGCCCCUCCCCGUGCGGAUCACCAACGGCCUCGCGAUGGUCUCGCUCGUGCUCUCCUCCUGCGACCUGCUCCGCCUCUGCAGCGACCCGGGCCGGCCCCUCAGGUUCCCCCUCGGCGGCCGCGAGUUCGCCACCGUCGUCUGCCAGCUCGCCUCCGUCGUCUACCUCCUCAGCCUCUUCGCCGUGCCCUUCGCGCAGCCCGCCAGCGCCCGCCGCGAGGAGGGCCAGGACGGUUCCCGCCGCUCGCCGGCGGCCGUCGCGCCCGCGCCAAUGCCUGACUGCCCGGACGACGGGGACGAGGAGAUCGUCGCCGCGGUGGUGUCCGGGGAGCUCCCGUCGCACCGCCUGGAGUCGCGGCUUCGGGACUGCCGCCGCGCGGCCAGGCUGAGGCGGGAGGCGCUGCGGCGGAUGACUGGGCGGGGCGUGGAGGGGCUCCCCUUCGAGGGGAUGGACUAUGAGGCCAUUCUGGGGCAAUGCUGCGAGAUGCCUGUCGGGUAUGUGCAGCUGCCGGUCGGGGUCGCCGGCCCGCUGCUCCUGGAUGGGCGCGACUACCAUGUUCCCAUGGCCACCACCGAGGGAUGCCUCGUUGCCAGCGUUAACCGCGGCUGCAGGGCCAUUGCAGCGUCCGGGGGUGCCUUCAGCGUGCUGCUCCGUGACGCCAUGUCCCGUGCGCCCGCCGUCAAGUUGCCUAGCGCCAAGCGGGCAGCGGAGCUCAAGAUGUUUCUUGAGGCGCCUGCCAAUUUUGAGGAGCUGGCUGCUGUCUUCAAUAAAUCAAGCAGAUUUGGUAGGCUACAAGGUAUUCAGUGUGCACUAGCUGGAAGAAACCUUUACAUGAGGUUUACCUGUAGUACUGGAGAUGCUAUGGGGAUGAAUAUGGUGUCGAAAGGUGUCGAAAAUGUCUUGGGCUACCUGCGGAACAACUUCCCCGACAUGGAUGUCAUCAGCAUAUCUGGUAACUACUGUUCAGACAAGAAGGCUACUGCUGUAAAUUGGAUAGAAGGUCGCGGGAAAUCUGUUGUUUGUGAGGCUACAAUUAAAGGAAGAGUUGUGCAGAGUGUUCUGAAGACCACUGUAGAAAAACUUGUCGAGCUUAACAUUAUCAAAAACCUUGCUGGGUCAGCUGUAGCUGGAGCUCUUGGAGGUUUCAAUGCUCAUGCAAGCAAUAUUGUAACUGCACUAUUCAUUGCUACUGGCCAGGAUCCUGCGCAAAAUGUUGAAAGCUCACAGUGCAUCACCAUGUUGGAGGCAGUGAAUGAGGGAAAAGAUCUCCACAUCUCUGUGACCAUGCCGUCCAUCGAGGUUGGUACAAUUGGCGGGGGCACCUCCCUCACCUCACAGGCCGCGUGUUUAAACCUGCUUGGUGUGAAGGGCCCAAAUCAUGGCUCGCCGGGCGCGAAUGCUAGACUUUUGGCUACCAUUGUAGCGGGCAGUGUGCUUGCUGGCGAGCUCUCUCUCCUCGCUGCUCUAGCCGCUGGUCAGCUUGUGAAGAGCCACAUGAAGUACAAUCGAUCGAGUAAAGAUGUUGCCAAUUCUGCUUCAUGA